AAAAAUUAAAAAUAAUAAUUAAUUUUUAAAAUGUAAAAUAAUUAUUAAAAUUAAAAAAUUAAAAAUAAUUAUUAAAAUUAAUUUUAAAAUAUAAAAAAAUUAUAAUUUAAUAAUUAAGAGCAUUUUGGUAAUCUUUAAUUUUUAUCUAUUAACAAAUUUUUUAAACAUGUGACAUCAAUCAAAUUCUACAUUAAUUUUUAUAAAUUUACUUCUAAA
rnacentral:lncRNA from 1 species